AUUGAACGCUGGCGGCAUGCCUUACACAUGCAAGUCGAACGGUAACAGGUUAAGCUGACGAGUGGCGAACGGGUGAGUAAUGUAUCGGAACGUGCCCAGUCGUGGGGGAUAACUGCUCGAAAGAGCAGCUAAUACCGCAUACGACCUGAGGGUGAAAGCGGGGGAUCGCAAGGCCUCGCGAGAUUGGAGCGGCCGCUAUCAGAUUAGGUAGUUGGUGAGGUAAAGGCUCACCAAGCCGACGAUCUGUAGCUGGUCUGAGAGGACGACCAGCCACACUGGGACUGAGACACGGCCCAGACUCCUACGGGAGGCAGCAGUGGGGAAUUUUGGACAAUGGGCGCAAGCCUGAUCCAGCCAUGCCGCGUGCGGGAAGAAGGCCUUCGGGUUGUAAACCGCUUUUGUCAGGGAAGAAAAGGUUCUGGCUAAUACCUGGGACUCAUGACGGUACCUGAAGAAUAAGCACCGGCUAACUACGUG
rnacentral:rRNA from 1 species